rnacentral:rRNA from 1 species
GAUGAACGCUGGCGGCGUGCCUAAUACAUGCAAGUAGAACGCUGAAGGAGGAGCUUGCUCUUCUGGAUGAGUUGCGAACGGGUGAGUAACGCGUAGGUAACCUGCCUGGUAGCGGGGGAUAACUAUUGGAAACGAUAGCUAAUACCGCAUGACAACAGUUAUUGCAUGAUAACUGUUUAAAAGGGGCAACUGCUCCACUACCAGAUGGACCUGCGUUGUAUUAGCUAGUUGGUGAGGUAACGGCUCACCAAGGCGACGAUACAUAGCCGACCUGAGAGGGUGAUCGGCCACACUGGGACUGAGACACGGCCCAGACUCCUACGGGAGGCAGCAGUAGGGAAUCUUCGGCAAUGGACGGAAGUCUGACCGAGCAACGCCGCGUGAGUGAAGAAGGUUUUCGGAUCGUAAAGCUCUGUUGUAAGAGAAGAACGAGUGUAAGAGUGGAAAGUUCACGCUGUGACGGUAUCUUACCAGAAAGGGACGGCUAACUACGUG